rnacentral:rRNA from 1 species
UAAUGCAGCGGCACCUAAUGGUGACAGUUGUUAAAGCGGGGGAUCGAAGGACCUCGCGUCUGAAGAGGAGCCUGCGGCGGAUUAGCUAGUUGGUAGGGUAAUGGCCUACCAAGGCAACGAUCCGUAGCCGGCCUGAGAGGGCGGUCGGCCACACUGACACUGACAUACGGGUCAGACUCCUACGGGAGGCAGCAGUCGGGAAUUUUGGGCAAUGGGCGAAAGCCUGACCCAGCAACGCCGCGUGAAGGAUGAAAUCCCUCGGGAUGUAAACUUCGCAAGAACGGGAAGAAUAAGUAGGGGACAAUACCCCCUAUGAUGACGGUACCGUUUGUAAGCUCCGGCUAACUCCGUGCCAGCAGCCGCGGUAAUACGGGGGGAGCAAGCGUUGUUCGGAUUUACUGGGCGUAAAGGGCGCGUAGGCGGCCAGUGCAAGUCAGUUGUGAAAUCUCCGAGCUUAACUCGGAAAGGUCAACUGAUACUGCUCGGCUAGAGUGCGGAAGGGGCAACUGGAAUUCUUGGUGUAGCGGUGAAAUGCGUAGAUAUCAAGAGGAACACCUGCGGCGAAGGCGGGUUGCUGGGCCGACACUGACGCUGAGGCGCGAAAGCUAGGGGAGCGAACGGGAUUAGAUACCCCGGUAGUCCUAGCCUUAAACGAUGAAUGCUUGGUGUCUGGGGUUAUAUAGUCCCCGGGUGCCGUCGCUAACGCUUUAAGCAUUCCGCCUGGGGAGUACGGUCGCAAGACUGAAACUCAAAGGAAUUGACGGAAUCGAAUU